rnacentral:rRNA from 1 species
GAAGUUGGAUUCGCUAGUAAUCGCGCAUCAGCCAUGGCGCGGUGAAUACGUUCCCGGGCCUUGUACACACCGCCCGUCAAGCCAUGGGAGCCGGGGGUGCCUGAAGUUCGUGACCGCAAGGAGCGACCUAGGGCAAAACUGGUGACUGGGGCUAAGUCGUAACAAGGUAGC